UACGGAGGUGGCAAGCGUUAUCCGGAAUUAUUGGGCGUAAAGGGCACGCAGGCGGUUCCUUAAGUCUGAUGUGAAAGCCCGUGGCUCAACCACGGAGGGCCAUUGGAAACUGGGGAACUUGAGAACUGAAGAGGAGAGUGGAGUUCCACGUGUAGCGGUGAAAUGCGUAGAUAUGUGGAGGAACACCAGUGGCGAAGGCGACUCUCUGGUCGGUUUCUGACGCUGAGGCGCGAAAGCGUAGGUAACGAACAGG
rnacentral:misc_RNA from 1 species